CAAAAUUUUUCGCUGCGGUGGUUUAGAUUUGAAAAUCACCGGGCGAAAAGUUUGCUU
rnacentral:pre_miRNA from 1 species